CGUUGCUUCCGUUGUAGUCUAGUUGGUCAGGAUAUUCGGCUCUCACCCGAAAGACCCGGGUUCAAGUCCCGGCAACGGAAU
rnacentral:tRNA from 1 species